CAACGCCCCUGGGGUAAGUGGGCUGCUGAAAUCAGAGAUCCUAUUAAGGGUGCCCGUGUUUGGCUUGGUACUUUCAACAGUGCUGAAGAAGCUGCAAGAGCUUAUGAUGUUGAAGCACAUAGGAUCCGUGGCAAGAAGGCCAAGCUUAACUUUCCAGAU
rnacentral:rRNA from 1 species